rnacentral:rRNA from 1 species
CCUACGGGUGGCAGCAGUGGGGAAUAUUGGACAAUGGGCGAAAGCCUGAUCCAGCCAUGCCGCGUGUGUGAAGAAGGCCUUCGGGUUGUAAAGCACUUUCAGUGGGGAAGAAAGCCUUGGGGCUAAUACCCUCGAGGAAGGACAUCACCCACAGAAGAAGCACCGGCUAACUCCGUGCCAGCAGCCGCGGUAAUACGGAGGGUGCGAGCGUUAAUCGGAAUUACUGGGCGUAAAGCGCGCGUAGGCGGUCUGAUAAGCCGGUUGUGAAAGCCCCGGGCUCAACCUGGGAACGGCAUCCGGAACUGUCAGGCUAGAGUGCAGGAGAGGAAGGUAGAAUUCCCGGUGUAGCAGUGAAAGGCGUAGAGAUCGGGAGGAAUACCAGUGGCGAAGGCGGCCUUCUGGACUGACACUGACGCUGAGGUGCGAAAGCGUGGGUAGCAAACAGGAUUAGAUACCCUUGUAGUC